rnacentral:rRNA from 1 species
AUUGAACGCUGGCGGCAGGCCUAACACAUGCCAGUCGAACGGUAACAGGAAGAAGCUUGCUUCUUUGCUGACGAGUGGCGGACGGGUGAGUAAUGUCUGGGAAACUGCCUGAUGGAGGGGGAUAACUACUGGAAACGGUAGCUAAUACCGCAUAACGUCGCAAGACCAAAGAGGGGGACCUUCGGGCCUCUUGCCAUCGGAUGUGCCCUGAUGGGAUUAGCUAGUAGGUGGGGUAACGGCUCACCUAGGCGACGAUCCCUAGCUGGUCUGAGAGGAUGACCAGCCACACUGGAACUGAGACACGGUCCAGACUCCUACGGGAGGCAGCAGUGGGGAAUAUUGCACAAUGGGCGCAAGCCUGAUGCAGCCAUGCCGCGUGUAUGAAGAAGGCCUUCGGGUUGUAAAGUACUUUCAGCGGGGAGGAAGGGAGUAAAGUUAAUACCUUUGCUCAUUGACGUUACCCGCAGAAGAAGCACCGGCUAACUCCGUG